AUAUUUAUUCUUGUAGGCCGGAGAUUCAGAUAACCAAAUUCGCUAUCCUUUUACUUAUUCUCUGCAAACCUAACGACGUUAAAGUUUGAUUUUACAAUCACAUUUUUUUCUCUAUUUUUUUAAUUUUUUGCAGGACAUGCUCAUUUCUUUUGAUGGUGAUCUUACAUGUUCAAGAGGAGAAGAUCGAAUUUCAAGAUUUGUACGUACCUGUUGAUCUAAUUAAACCCUCAAAUUUCAUUGUCCUCGAAGAAACUAGAAAUGCAGAAUCUAGAAGAUUGUAUUUUGAUCUCGAUUCAUUAUUUUAACGUGUAUGUAGGGUAGACAAUCUCGACCUUUGCCAUGUUGGGUGCGCUCGCAUGGCAGGUCACCUAAUAAAGAAGAAUCACUUUUUUUGGGUUGGGAGAGGAGAUCGCAUGGGAAUUGGGAUGAUAUAUUAAUUUCCCCCCAUUUUGAUAGUCCCAGGAUCAUCCUCUCCAAGAUCGGGCUUUGUGUUCUGAUCUUUUCUCCAUGGAUUGUUAUUCUUUCAUUAUCCAUUAUCCUUCCUCCCAUGCAACUUCACUCACCGACAUAAUCGAUUAAAGAUAAUAACCUGAACUCUAACCCUAACCCAUAUCCUACAAACGAGAUAUACAUUGAAUUUAAACUAAUUACGAUCUAUGAGUAAUCCGAUCCCACAAAAUGAAACGAAUGAGUUGCUAAUCUUCAAUUGAUCACCAUUCAAAUCGUCAAUCAAGGUAUAGCGCUCAUAUGCUUUCCAUUUCGCUUCGUAUAUAUAUAUAUACAUUUCGCUUCAUAUAUAUACAUUUCGCUUCGUAUAUAUAUAUAUAGCUUCAUUUUUUAUAAUUCAAAAAAUAAUAUUGUGAGAUUUAUAUUUAAAGAUAAUUGUGUUACUCCAGAAGAAUAUUUAUUUAUUUAAUUAUUAGAAUUGUCUCUAGAUGAAUAAUUACUGUUUUUUUUGGGAGAAAUGGAGAUAUUGUAUAUCACACACACACAUAUAUAUAGGGUCAGAUUCAGAUGAGAUAAGGGUUCAUGAGAUAUUAUGUGAUCAUGACCCCUCAAGUAAAAAUUUCGAUUUACCGUUUGAUGAAAAUCCGAAGGCUGAUAUGACAAAAUCUCAUGGACUAUUGUCUCAUCGAUCUAAUUUUUAUCCCAUGCAUAUUUGAUGGAUGAUAUUGCUCGCGAUCGGGAAACAAAACUCUGGGGUGAUAAUAAAGAGGCCGCGGGUAUGUUGCAUUCGAAGGUGCAGAAGAAAAUAAAUACUAUGGACUUCUGACUUAGGUAUAUACUUAUCUCAAAACAAUGUGAUUGAAAAAUUGACAAAGGAAUGCAAAAUAGAACAUUUAAUUUAAAAUAUCUUAAUUAACAUUAUUUUUGUAGAAUGAAGAAGUUGGUAAUCGAUAAAGUUUGAUUAUUGCGAUGUUUGCAAGGCUACCCAUAGUUCGACUAUAUAAUUGAAGGCCGUUGGUAUUGAAAUCAACGAUCCCAUACAUUUCUUGUACUUGGAGCAAGAGAUUGUACAUUAAUCAAUCCCAAAUUAUUGAAACUCUAAAGUGGCGACUUUGCCUAACCCCAAGAGAUCGACGAUGAGUAAUGUAAAAUUAGCCACGGAUUUAAUCAAAGGGCUUUGAAAAUUGGUUCUGAACACAAGUCUUAUUUCUUGUUGUGAUGGCAAGAAAUAUAUAAGAAAAAUUAGGGUUUUCAAAAAUUAUUAUUUAUUUACUUUGAAAAAAAUCAUAUACUUGAUAAGUGCUUUUUAUAUUCUUUUUUUGUUUAUAAACAAAAAUUCUAACUUAUUUUCUUUGCAUCCAUUUUGUAUUGAAAAUCACUACAAAAAAUAAGAUACUGUGAAACAGAUUACUGACGAAUUAAAGAUGAUCGAUGGUAGAAAUCUCUUGUAUUCAGGACUAUCACCAAAAUACGAGUUCUAUCACUAAUAGACCGUCGACAAAAGAGACUCCAUGAUUCUCACCUAAAAAGCAGAUUUGAAUUUCGUGGUCAAAAUCCACCACUGAUGAUAUUUUUUCAACGAGUAGUAAAAAAAUUCCGAAAUUUUUAUACAUUAAAAAUUUAAUUUAUAAAUUAAUAAUAGAAGAUAAUUUAAUUAUGAGUAUUUUGAGUUCUGAAUAUAACUUUUUUAUAUAUAUGGUUAAUUUCUAACCAUUUUCAAAAUAUUGUAUCACUAUAAGAAAGAAAGUUAUUUAAAAUAAGGAUUGGUUUUUAGUGAGAAUGGUUAUAAAAUAAUGGGUGAGAAUGUAAAUCUCAUCCAUCCAUUCUUAUGGGUAUAUAUGUAUACUUUUAUAUAUUUGAAAGUAUGAGAGACCAACCUCCUGAGACCACGUAUUUAGUUACUGUAUAACUAGACUACAUAGCUAAUGAAAGAGAGUCAAUGAGUUUCUUACUCGUUCUUUUUAAUAAAUUUAAUUGCUUUCAAAAAAAAACUUUUAUAUAUUUUAUUAUUAUUUGAUUUUACCGUUGGAUUAGAUUUUGUCGGUCAAAUGAAUUCAUUCUCAAAUAGUGUUGAAAUAAGACUUUCUCAUGUGAACCUUGCCUUUUAAAAUAAUCCAACACCUAUAAAAAUGUCCCAUUCUAAAGAGACUUUAGUUGUUUUGCAAUCCCUGGACUGGGUUAAGUUGUUGAUCGAUCAGAUCUAGAGCAUUAACUAAUUAACUGAUAAUUCAGGGAUCUGACUAUCUGAUUUCUUGAUUUAUGAGCAAGGAUCUCACUAUUGGGAGCGACAUCGUCUCUGCUUGGGAAGAGAUGACAACGACAAUUGAUUCAUAGUAUGAAUCGAGCCCUCCAAGGACAUAAACGACCACUUCCGAUGUCUCAGUCUUGACUCUGACAGUUCGUAAAUCGUCAACUAGCCUUUUGAUUUUGGUUAGAUACUCAUCAAUUGGAGAGUCACCUUUCUUGAUUUGUUGCAAUUGCUGUCUGAUUUGCAAUAUCCGGGAUCCAGAAGUGCAUGCAUGCAUUUCUUGGAGUUGUUUCCAAGUUACGUCGGAAGUUUCAACGCCGGCAACCUACGUGAGGAUGUGUGACUGGAACGAUGAGAAGAUCCAUCCCAGUAAAAGCUGAUCUUGCUGAAUCUUCAGUGUAUCAUCAAGGAUGACUGAACCAUCUACAUAAGAUAAGAGGCCAUAUCCCUUCAAGAGCGUGCUGAACUACUUCCGCCAAGUGAAGAAAUUCGUUAUGGCGAGUUUCUAUGCUUGCAGGUACUUGAUUUUCACAAGUUUGGAAGAGCUACCGACGUUCAUCAUGGCGAUUUGCAGAAUAAGUACCCAAUCGUUACCUAACAAUCUGAUACCAUAUUACAAUCAAUGAGCUUGACUGAAUUCAUUGUAUUUCACACUCCUCAAUUAAUACAUGUUUCUAUAUAUCUAUUUAUAAUAGUAUUCAAUUAAAUAACUAAUUAAUUGAUAAUCCAGUUAUUAUUUUUUAAUACAGGGAACCUGGAUGCCGCCCAGGCCCCUAGACCCAAGAGGUAGUUCUAGAAGUACAUGCAUGAAUCUUAGGGGAUCAUGCAUCAUCUGUUUCCUUAUGUCUUGCGAGAAUUAUUCUUUAACUCCGCCUUUGGCAAAUUGCCAUUGCCGGUCCCCAGCCCGGAUCAAAGGAGGAGGGAAGGAUUAUUUAAGAUAACCAUUAUUUGGAUCAUUUCUUCUCAUUUUGUAUUUUCGUGGUUGGGAUCACAAGUGAACGCAAUCGAUCUUAACAAUUUACAAGCUAACCAUAAAGUUUUGAAGUAUUUGCUGAUCACACAAGUCUGAAGUAUAUAUUUAGAGUUAGGGUUAGUAGUCAACCGUGAAAAAGACUACAUAAUAUCUUUUAAAGAUGAUAUCUUUAAAAAAGAAUGUGACUCACAAUUGGAAAGGAAAAGACAACCCUCCUGAGACCCAAUUCUAACUAGAGCACUAAGAAGGAUAGCUAUAUAAGAGAAGGUCGAUAUAAUGGGAAACCACAAUAUCAAUCCCAUCACAUUUUUUUUCAUUUGUAUUUUAGGGCAUUGUCUUUCAUUAUCUUUAAUGAAAACUUUUAAUAUUUGCAAAAAAAAAAGCACACGAGACAUAGACGAUAUUUGAGUUUGUAAAAUAUCAAAACUUAGUGUGAAAUCACCGGAGUUGAGUGAGAUCACCGGACUUGAGUCAGAAUGGAAUGUGAUUUAUUCAUUGAUAUUGAUGAGUUUAUAUAGUAUUGAUUUACAACUAACUUAUAACUAACUAUCUAAAUAUCUUUGUUUUGACCCUCAGGCCCGACGACUAUACUCGUCAAGAGAUGUUCGAUUUAUAGAAGAGGACUUCAUGUUAAAUAAAAGUUUAUGGAAAGAGGUAAAUGAACAUUUUCCAGAUCCGGUAAAAGUGAGCUCCCCACCGAUUGUAAGUCAUCCGAAUAUAAUCAUUCAAUCAAUAUCCGGUCAUAUUGUGCAAUCAGGCAGCCAAGAUACUACUCAACCAUAAUUGGAAAUAACUAGUCCAAUUGAAUCAUCGGAUGAAUCAGAAGUAGUACCCGAAGAAGAAAGGCAGGAAGAAACAGAGAGCACUAACAACCAAGUUAUACAACCUAUGCUAACCAGAAGUGCGAAAGGAAUUUUCAAGUCAAAUCCUCGGUAUGCUCUAACGGUAGCAGCAAGUACCAUAGAUAACGAUAUGCUCUAAUGAUGCCGGAGUUGAGUGAGAAUGGAAUGCGAUUUAUUUAUUGGUAUUGAUGAGUUUAUACAGUAUCUAACUCAUAACUAACUAUCUAAAUAUCUAGUUAGUUAUCUAUCUUAACAUAAAAGAUUUUAAAUUUGAAUUGACAUACAUAAGAGUUCAUUCAAAUCAUUCAUACUUAUCACUAACUCUAAAUCCACAGGACUUCCUCACAUUGAUUUAUUUGGAUCAACCCAAACCUAAAGUUUUUGAGGAAAAAGAUUGAUAUAUGCAAAAUAAAAAUAUUUUAGGAAAUCCAUAUUAAAUCAACUUUCAACUAAUUUCUAUUUUAAGUUUGUUAACAAUAACCUUUAAAACUAUUGAAUUUUAUAUAAAAAAAGUCAUUUCCCAUAAAAAAAGCUAUCUAUUUUUAUGAACCUAUUGUUUGGUUUCUAUAUUUAAGAAUCCACCCCCUAUAUAUUUAUUCUCCUAGGCCAGAGAUUCAGAUAUCUGAAUUCACUAUCAUUUGAUUUGUUAUUGGUAUUUGUUUUUCAAUCACAUUUUUUAAAUUUGUUGCAGGAUAUGCUUAUUUCUUGUGUUGGAGAUCUUACAUGUUCAAGAGGAGGAAAAUUUUGAGAUUUGUGCGUACCAUCUGAACUAAUUACAUCGUCGUAGAAGAAACUAGAUGAUUGUAUUUUGAUCUCGAUUCAUUAUUUUGACGUGUAUGUAGGGUAGACAAUCUCGACCUUUGCCAUGUUGGGUGCGCUCGCAUGGCAGGUCACCUAAUAAAGAAGAAUCACUUUUUUGGGUUGGGAGAGGAGAUCGCAUGGGAAUGGGGAUGAUUUUACUCCCUUUUUGAUAUUCCCAGGGUCAUCCUCUCCAAGGUCCGACCUCUGCAAGGCCGGACUCUGUGUUCUCUUUUCUGUUUGUCUUCUUUCAUUAUCUAUUAUCCUCCCUCCCAUGCAACUUCCCUCACCGACAUCAUCGAUUAAAGAUAAUAACUCGUUCGUGCCCUCUUAAUCGUUAAAAUCAACGAUCAGCGAAAUCAUUUAUAAUCAUAAAAACGAGGUAUAGAUUGAAUUUAAAUCAAUUACGCUUCUACGACGAUUAAUCAAUUAUCGUAAAAUGAAUCAAAUGAUUUGGUUGUUGAUCAAAGUAAUUAACGUUCAUUUCGAAAGCCGGUUUAUGAUUUUAAUUUCGCUUCACAUAUCUUCAUUUUUGGAUGAUUCUGAUUAUAUGAUGGAUGAUAUUGUUCGCGAUCGCGAAACGAAACUCCGUGAUAAUAAAGAGGGCAUGUUGAAUAUAUCUGCUCGAUUAUCUCAAACGUCAAUAAAGGAAAAUCAAUUGCUAAAAGUUAAUCGCGAUUUUAUAUCUUCUCUUUGUAAGUAUGUUUUAAUUAGUUAAAUUUAUCAUUUUUCUAUAUUUAAACAUGAAAUAAUAUAAUUUAUCAAUUUUAUACACAUGAUUGAUAAGAAAAGAUAGAAGAUUCGAUCAUGGCUAAGGUAUUUAUAUUAAGGCAUUGAAAGAAGUUUCGUGAAAUGAAAAGAUCGAUGAAGAAAUGCAUACUUUCAGUUAAGCCUAUUUGAUCCAACUAAUGUUAUUAGGUCAAUGGCAACCUUGUUAUUUUAUCCAACUUUGAAGGUAUUUAUUAAGUUGAUAUAAAAUAACAUAAGUACGGUUGUGGAAUUGAAACACGAACACAUCAAGAGCAACUAUGGAAGCUUGGGCUAGAAUGCUCCAACCGGCAUCAAAUUAAUAUUUUGUUUAUUAUUGUGUUAUAAUUUAAAUUCAGUAAGAACUUGUGUUAAAAGGGGAAUGUAAUACUUAGGCUAAGGGUGGGUCGGAAUUCAACUAAAAAUAGAAUUCUGACUCACAAAAGCAUCGGAAUGAUGGAAUGACCUAACAAGUCACAUCCACCGGACCCCCUAUCUCAUAUGAGGUAAGAUUCCUUGUGUAAGUAUAAACGAUAUGAGGAAUCACUUACAAAGUAGUGGACCGAAAGGUGAUGGCAGGGUUUUCCCUAGGAAAAGAAAAAGAUGUCAGUAGCACACUAGGGUUUUUUCACCCAACCAUUGUCCAAGGCCCACUACGUAAGAACGAUAAGGCAUAGAUCAUUCUAGGAAAUAUUGAGUCGAUCAGUCCCCAAAGAUUGUUGAAGGCCUAAACGAUCGUAAGAUCACUUGGCUGGAUCAAUGCGGAGGGUGUGAGGUAGAUCGCAUGUAAUCACACCUCUUUUUUUGCUUUGAGAUCUAUAUAUUGCAGGAUGAUUUUAACUCAAAAAAAAGGAAUUGAAGCAUGAAGAAGGGAGGAGGAAAGAAGAAAGGAGAGAAAAAAAGAGUUUUAUAUUUAUAGAUAUCAAUGUUGAUUGAUCAUAAAACAUUGUAUUAUUAUUUUUAUUAGUUAAUUUGUCUGCGUAGUUAACAAAAGUGAAUUCGUCAACAAAAGUGAGAAGUGGAUGAAAAUCGAUCCUCUGUAUUUAGGAUUACCACCUCAUCAAUAGAUUAAGACCAAAUUCGAUUUCAAUGUUACAACCUCAAACCUCGAACCAGUAACCUUUAAUAGUUAAUGAUGAAAGUGUUUUUGAAAUACUUUCAAUAGGUCUGUCAAUAGAUAUCCGAAAUUCGUGUUCGAAUUCAAAAUCGAAUUUAUUUAGGUUUAAUGAAAUUCAAAUACUUAAAAUACUAUCUAAAGUUAAAUGAAUUCAAAUACUCCUAAACGCAUUCGCAUAAUUAUCCAAAUUUGAAUAAGUAUAUAAAUAUAUAAUAAUUUUUACAUUUUCUAAUAUAAUGUAAUAUAUAUUGUGCUGGAUUUAUAUGUUUAAAGUAUUACAGAAGUUUUUAUUAAAAAAUAAGUAACAUAUUAUUUUUAGUAAAUGUUAUUCGAACCGAAUCCGGAUAUCCGUAUUCGGAUAUUUUAAUCGAAUUCGGAUAUUGAAUUUAAAAUUCGAAUAAUAAUCGGACGAAUUCGGAUUAUCUGGAUACUAAACGAAUUCAGAUACAAGGGUAUCCGAACUUAAUUCGUUCGAAUGACAGACGUGGACACGGAGACGACAUGGUCAGACGGAGACUGGGGAAAAUCACCGGGGGAGUGACAUCGCUUGGGGGGGGGUGUUUGUUUGGGAGAAGAAUAGAGAGAUAUAUUGGAGUAACUAAUAAAGUUAGUUACUGAUAGUUAGAUGGUUAAUGGAAGUUGUUAUUGUAUUGAAACUAGUAUAAAUAGAACUGUAAUUAAUGAUACAAUGAAAGUAAUUCAAUCAAGGGUGAAGGUAGUACGUACCAUCACUCCACGUUUUGUGAUCUCGAGUUCUUAUUCCGUUCAAUAAGAUGUCAGUGAGAGAGAGUGAGUGAGAUAUUUUUAGGCGAGAGUGAUAUAAGAAUAUAACUAGAAUACAGGGCAAAUAAGCAAUUUACCAUAAGAAACAAGCUUAAGACGUAAAGAAAUAUAAAUAACCCAAAGGUUAUGACAAAACAGAAUAAACUGUUUUGUUAUAAACUAACAGGGGUUCUUUUAUAAAUGUUUCAAUAAACGUUAUUUGAACCUAAGCGUAAUUAAAAGAAACUAAAGGUUUUCGUAAUAUAACUGAGAUCUAUAAAUACAAGGAUCGAAUUGUAAAAAUUUCAAUUACCAGUUAUAAUUAAUUUAAGGACUGUUAUGCAAAUAACACAAAACUAAAUCAGGUCAAAUAGACCUGAUUGAUAUUACUAAUAAGUUUGUAUACUUGUGCAGAAUUGUUACAGCUAAUCGGGUUUGGAUCGCACUCGGACUCGGAUCAAGUUCCAGCACAAAUAAAUUAGAAUUAAGAAAAUUAGUUACAUUUUUAGCUGUUAACAGUUUUGUAAUAUUUGUAUAAAUAAACGUGAUUAAGAAUUAAUAAUCACUCAAUGUUUUUACAAGUUAAUCAAUAAAGAAAAGAGAUUAACUAAAGAGAAACAUUUUUCUUUUCACCCCCUUUCUUCUUUCUUUCUUAUUUCACGUCCGGUAGUUAAUUCCGGUUCUCCCCAAAAUACGUUGGGCGGAAAACCCUAACUCCGAUCAGCCUCUCCAGUGGUUGAAAAGCUUCCAGACUCCGGGAAGAUCAUACAUUGCAGCAGGCGACGCCUCCAGUGCAAAAUUUAAUAAGUGACAGUUGUCACUAAUCUAAUGUAUGGUUUUUUUUAGACAUAAUAUUACACUUUGUGUCACAUUAAGUCACAAAUCAGAUUUUUUUUCACUCAUUACUAAGAUAAAUGGUCCACAAUCAUCCAUCAUUCCAUCUCACUCUCAAUUUAUUUUCAAAAAAUGGAUGGCUCAAUUUCAGAGAGAUUUUUAGCGUUUUUUCAUAAGACUUAUAGGAAAUUUAUUCUAUAAUAAAUAAAAAAGAAACUAGGGUUCAUGAACCUUUAUAGUUUAUACUCCUUUUUCCGAACCCACGUAAACCUCCUAUAAUUAGAAAGUCCCUCCUCCAUAUUAGAUUUAGGGUUACCAAAUAUACAGACCUGCGACUCUAUUCGUUCAUCGUUCUCACCGUCGUUGAGAUCCUUCGUUGAUUCGUACGAUCGAGAUUCUUCCCCACACAGGUUAGUCUCGCUCUCUUGAUCUACUACCUUCAUCGUCUCUUUCUCAAUUUCUUCUUGCCACAGAUCUUCUCGUGUUGUUAUCUCCUACAGUUUCUUUCGAUCGGGUGUCCUCAGUUAUCGCGUGCGUGGAUGUCUAUCUGCAAUGUAACAAUAGCCUGUGAAGUUGAAAAUUAGUUGAAUGAGUUUUUUGUUUUAGAAGAACUCCAAGUUUCUCUAUUGGAAAUCAUUUUUACUUCAUUUGAAAACAAGAAGAGAUGAUGUUAUAUUCAUGUGAGUUGUUUCAGUAGGAAUAAUGAAUGGAUCUCAUGAUUAUGAUUUUAAAUAUGUUGUGAUUGGUUGUAACACAAGAUUCAUCUAAUAAUCAAACAAACUUUUACUAAGAUUUUUACAGAUUUUUUUACAUAGAUUCAUCUACACAUUCCAAAUCCAUACACCAUAUAUAACUACUACUACUGCCAAAGGAUUAUUGCUAGCUCCCUGUUGAAAAAGAAAUCGUUGUCAUAAAAUAUUACCACUAACGUUAGAAUCCGAAGCAGAGACCAGUUAGGUAGAUGAUGCGACUGGGGACGAUGCUUACAAUGGAUGACGAUGACUGCUAGAUGUUUGAUAAAUGUGUUUCUUGUUCACUUAGUAAUGUCAUAAACUGUUUUUUCUUUGAUUAUUCUGUUACUAAACAUUUAGAAUUAAUAUUCAGUGAUGUUUUGGGGCCUAAUCUCUCCACACCUCAUCACAAGGUUUUAGAUAUUAUGUGAACUUUUUUGAUGUAUUCAUCGAAUUCAUUUGCAUUUUUCCAAUUCAAUGUAAGUCAGAGGUUUUUGUAAAAUUCAAUGAUUUUAAAAUAAAAGUUGAAAAUCAAUUAGAUCUCAAAAUUAAGACCUUACAAACUGAUAAUGGUGGAGUAAUAUUUUCCAAACUGAUGAAGCACUGAAUCUUCUACCAGGGCUCGCGGUGGUGCGAGGUGAUGCCGGAGGCUCUGGAGUCCACAACGCGCGCUCUACGUCAAAUACCUGCAAGUAGAAACUAGGCGAUUCUAGUGAGAAUCGGCGAGUUUCUUAGUGAUGCUCUGGUGAGAGUGGAACUUGUGUUGUGCCUUUGAGUGUCCCCUUGGGACCCUUUUUAUAGGGUCUCGGAGGGCGCGAUCAAAGGCGGAUAUCGCGCCUAUUGCCAUAGAUGGGAGCAUUUAUGGCGUUGGCUGGCGGCGAGUAACGGUCGUAAGUCGGUGAUUCAGGUAUGGAAAUCGCCUAUUUAGGGCAAACUCGCCGAGUUUCCAGGGGCGAGAUGUGCAGUCUACCAUACUGCCGAUCUGGGCCCUAACUCGGCGAUUUGUCCCUAAAGUCGGCGACUUGGUAGUCCAAUCGUGACUUACGGGUUAACUCUGCGAUUUGGACGAUGAACUUGUUCCGCACCGUGGGAGCUCUCCGGGGGUCCGGCGUAAAGCGACGGAACCCUAGUCCUUGUUGAAAGGCGUUGCUGGGAGUGACUGCCGUAAUCAGGCAUGUCUCACCACAAACUUUCUUAAAUAUCAAAUUAAAUUUUUUCAAAAUAUUGAUAUUUCGAACUACUAAAGUAGCGACAUCUUGGGAUGAAAAAAUAUGAAUAUUUUCAAUUUUUCUCAAAAUUAUAUCUGCACACAACACAUCAUUAGAAAUUGAAGAAACUAUUUGGGCUCUGCCAAGCCCAAAUAUGAAGAUUUCGCAGGUCCUAUGUUGUUGUUGAAUAAGCGAUCAUAGGAGUGAAAGUCGGAGAGCACACACGCGAUCGAUAUUUGGGCUUGACAGAGCUAAGAUUAAACAACAAUUAAUUUAUUAAUAUGUAGAGAAAAUGCGAGAUGAUAAAAUACAGUGUAUAAUCAACGAGAGAGAGCAGAGUAAAAGUUAGGAUUCCAGAGGAACGAAGAUAUAUACUCACGAGAGCGGCAGCGAGAGUAGAAAAAAAACUGCCAGAACAUCUAACAUAUAAACCCUAGAAAACAAUUUAUACCUAAGGUUUUUUGACCUAAUCUGUGAUUAAGAUAAUCAUAGGGAUAUAAGAGCAAUUAAGUAUAAAAUAAAUUUUAAUAUAUCGGAUUGGGCAUAUUGGACCCUUAACAAUAUAACAUAUCAUUAUAAGAAAUUAAAGAUUUCAACGUAUUAAAAUUUUCAAUUGUUUGAUUACUCGAACAUUCGUAAUUUUAUUCGAAUGAUUUUCGUUUUUUCUCCUUCCAAAAACCGAGUUAAUUUUCUAAUCCUAUUUAAUUAGUAGUUAUUAAAAAGGUUAUAAUAGUUUUUUUAACUUUGAUUUUUUCUUUAAUUUUUCCAUCAUUAAUGUAUAUGUAUAAUUUUCUCUUUUUUCGUCAAAUCAAAAAAUUUGAAUAUUUUAAAUUAAAAAAAAUGUUAACAUCUCUUGAAAUAUCAUAAAUGCAUUCACAUACAUUUUUCGAAAAAAAUUAAAUAUAUAUGAUUUUUUAUCAAAAAAUGUAAACGAUUUCGUAUCAAAAAUUGUACACGAUUUCGUAUAAAAAAUGUACACGAUUUCGUAUCAAAAAAUGUACACGAUUUCGUAUCAAAAAAUGCACACGAUUUUAUAUAAUAAAAUGUCCAUGAUUUGUAUUAUAAAAUGUACGUGAUUUUGUAUUUAAUUAAAAAUGUAUACAAAAUCGGAUUUCAUGGGUGAAAAUAUUCACCCGAACCCAAACCUGACAUGUUCAGGUUAAAUCUAAUCCAUGCCAACCCCUAGUUUUGAUCCAUUUUUUUUGAAAAAAUGACUUGGCGGUGUGAGAAAAUAUUAACCAGUUCCAAAUUUUUCCGAGGGCGACCUUAACCAGUUCCUAAUUUUUCUCCUUAUAGAAUCAACUGUGGACAUAUAUAAAAUCAAAAUAAGAUGAACAUAUAUAAAAUAUAUAUAAAAAAGUCAUUUGCCAUACAAAAGUUAUCUAUUUUUAUGAACUUAUAUCUAUUUUUUCGUUGUGUGAUUUGUCACCAUAUAUUCCAUAGACAAUUUCCAUAUUUAAGAAUCCACCCACCAUAUUUAUUCUCCUAGGCCGGAGAUUUAACCAAAUUCGCUAUCCUUUUACUUAUUCUCUGCAAACCUAACGACGUUAAAGUUUGAUUUGUUGUUGGCGUUUGAUUUUACAAUCACAUUUUUUUCUCUAUUUUUUUAAUUUUUUGCAGGACAUGUUCAUUUCUUAUGAUGAAGAUCUUACAUGUUCAAGAGGAGGAGAUCGAAUUUCGAGAUUUGUACGUACCUGUUGAUCUAAUUAAACCCUCAAAUUUCAUUGUCCCCGAAGAAACUAGAAAUGCGGAAUCUAGAAGAUUGUAUUUUGAUCUCGAUUCAUUAUUUUGACGUGUAUGUAGGGUAGACAAUCUCGACCUUUGCCAUGUUGGGUGCGCUCGCAUGGCAGGUCACCUAAUAAAGAGGAAUCACUUUUUUUGGGUUGGGAGAGGAGAUCGCAUGGGAAUUGGGAUGAUAUAUUAAUUUCCCCCUAUUUUGAUAUUCCCAGGAUCAUCCUCUCCAAGAUCGGGCUUUGUGUUCUGAUCUUUUCUCCAUGGAUUGUUUAUGUUCUUUCAUUAUCCAUUAUCCUUCCUCCCAUGCAACUCCCUCACCGACAUCAUCGAUCAAAGAUAAUAACCUGAACCCUAACCCAUAUCCUACGAACGAGGUAUACAUUGAAUUUAAACUAAUUACGUUCUAUGAAUAAUCCAAUCGUACAAAAUGAAACGAAUGACUUCCUAAUCUUCAAUUGAUCACCGUUCAAAUCGUCAAUCAAGGUAUAACGCUAAUAUGCUUUCCAUUUCGCUUCGAAUAUAUAUAGCUUCAUUUCUUAUAAUUCAAAAAAUAAUAUUGUGAGAUUUAUAUUUAAAGAUAAUUGUGUUACUCCAUAAGAAUAUUUAUUUAUUUAAUUAUUAGAAUUGUCUCUAGAUGAAUAAUUACUGUUUUUUUGGGAGAAAUAAAGAUAUUGUAUAUCAUAUAUAUAUAUAUAAUUAUAUAUAUAUACAUAGGGUCAGAUUCAGAUGAGAUAAGGGUUCAUGAGAUAUUAUGUGAUCAUGACCCCUCAAGUAAACAUUUUGAUUCACAGUUUGAUGUAAAUCUGAAGGCUGACAUGACAAAAUUUCAUGGACUAUUAUCUCAUCGAUCUAAUUUUUACCCCAUGCAUAUUUGAUGGAUGAUAUUGCUCGCGAUCGGGAAACAAAACUCUGGGGUGAUGAUAAAAAGGCCACGGGUAUGUUACAUUCGAAGGUGUAAAUGAAAAUAACUACUAUGGACUUCUGACUUAGGUAUAUACUUAUCUCCAAACAAUGUGAUUGAAAAAUUGACAAAGGAAUGCAAAAUAGAACAUUUAAUUUAAAAUAUCUUAAUUAACAUUAUUUUUGUAGAAUAAAGAAGAUGGUAAUCGAUAAAGUUUGAUUAUUGCAAGGUUUGCAAGGCUACCGAUAGUUCGACUAUAAUUAAAGGCCGUUGGUAUUGAAAUCAACCAUCCCAUACAUUUCUUGUACUUGGAGCAAGAGAUUGUACAUUAAUCAAUCCAAAAAAUUUGAAACCCUAAAGUGGCUAAACUGACGACUUUGCCUGACCCCAAGAGAUCGACGACAAGUAAUGUAAAAUUAGCCACGGAUUUAAUUAAAGGGUUUUGAAAAUUAGUUCUGGACACAAGUCUUAUUUCUUGUUGUGAUGGCAAAAAAUAUAUAAGAAAAAUUAGGGUUUUAAAAAAUUCUUGUUUAUUUAUUUUUUGAAAAAAUCAUAUACUUGAUAAGUGUUUUUUAUAUUCUUUUUUUGUUAAUAAAAAAAAUAUUCUAACUUAUUUUCUUUGCAUCCAUUUUGUAUUGAAAAUCACUACAAAAAAUAAGAUAUUGUGUAACAGAUUACUGACGAAUUAAUGAUGAUAGAUGAUGAAAAUCUCUUGUAUUCAGGACUAUCACCAAAAUACGAGUUCUAUCAUCAAUAGACCGUCAACAAAAGAGACUCCAUGAUUCUCACCUAAAAAGCAUAUUCGGAUUUCGUAAUCAAAAUCCAUCAUGAUGAUAUUUUUUCCACGAGUAGUAAAAAAAUUCCGAGUAUUUUGAAUUCUGAAUAUAAAUUUUUUUUAUAUAUGGUUUAUAACCAUUUUCAAAAUAUUGUAUCACUAUAAGAAAGAAAGUUAUUUAAAAUAAGGAUUGGUUUCUAGUGAGAAUGGUAAUAAAAUAAUGGGUGAGAAUGUAAAUCUCAUCCAUCCAUUCUUAUGGGUAUAUAUGUAUACUUUUAUAUAUUUGAAAGUAUGAGAGACCAACCUCCUGAGACCACGUAUUUAGUUACUGUAUAACUAGACUACAUAGCUAAUGAAAGAGAGUCAAUGAGUUUCUUACUCGUUCUUUUUAAUGAAAUUUAAUUCCUUUCAAAAAAAAACUUUUAUAUAUUUUAUUAUUAUUUGAUUUUACCGUUGGAUUAGAUUUUGUCGGUCAAAUGAAUUCAUUCUCAAAUAGUGUUGAAAUAAGACUUUCUCAUGUGAACCUUGCCUUUUAAAAUAAUCCAACACCUAUAAAAAUGUCCCAUUCUAAAGAGACUUUAGUUGUUUUGCAAUCCCUAGACUGGGUUAAGUUGUUGAUCGAUCAGAUCUAGAGCAUUAACUAAUUAAUUAACUGAUAAUUCAGGGAUCUCACUGUCUGAUUUCUUGAUUUAUAAGCAAAGAUCUCACUGUUGGGAGCGACAUCAUCUCUGCAUGGGAAGAGAUGACAACGACAAUGAUUCAUAGUCUGAAUCGAGCCCUCCAAGGAUAUAAACGACCACUUCCGAUGUCUCAGUUUUGACUUCGGCAGUUCGUAAAUUGUCAACUAGCCUUUUGAUUUUGGUUAGAUACUCAUCAAUUAGAGAGUCACCUUUCUUGAUUUGUUGCAAUUGCUGCCUGAUUUGCAAUAUCCGGAAUCCAGAAGGGCAUGCAUGCGUUUCUUGGAGUUGUUUCCAAACUUCGUCGGAAGUUUCAACGCCGGUGACUUACGCGAGGAUGUCUGACUGGAACGAUGAGAAGAUCCAUCCCAGUAAAAGCUGAUCUUGCUGGAUCUUCAGUGCAUCAUCGAGGAUGACUGAACCAUCUACAUAAGAUAAGAUGCCAUAUCCCUUCAAGAGCGUGCUGAACCACUUCCCCCAAGUGAAUAAAUUUGUUCGGGCGAUCUUCUCUACUUGCGGGUACUUGAUUUUCACAAGUUUGAAAGAGCUACCGACGUUUAUCAUGGCAAUUUGCAGAAGAAGUGCCCAGUCGUUACCUAGCAAUCGGAUACCAUAUUACAAUCAAUGAGCUUAACUGAAUUCAAUGUAUUUCACACUCCUCAAUCAAUACACGUUUCUAUAUAUCUAUUUAUAAUAAUAUUCAAUUAACUAACUAAUUAACUGAUUAAGCCAUUAACUAAUUAACUGAUAAUUCAGUUAUUGAUUUUUAAUACAGAGAACCUGGCUGCCGCCCAGGCCCCCAGAUCCAAGAGCUAGUUCUAGAAGUACAUGAAUCUUAGGGGAUCAUGCAUCAUCUGUUUCCUUAUGUUUUGCAGGAAUUGUUCUUUAACUCUGCCUUUGGCAAAUUGCCAUUGCCGGUCCCCAGCCCGGAUCAAAGGAGGAGGGAAGGAUUGUUUAAGAUAACCAUUAUUUGGAUCAUUUCUUCUCAUUUUCUAUUUUCAUUGUUGGGAUCACAAGUGAAAGCAAUCGAUUUUAACAAUUUACAAGAUAACCAUAAAAUUUUGAGGUAUUUGCUGAUCACACAAGUCUGAAAUAUAUAUUUAUAGUUAGGGUUAGUAGUCAACCAUGAAAAGGACCACAGAAUAUCUUUUAAAGAUGAUAUCAUUAAAAAAGAAUGUGGUUCACAAUUGGAAAAGACUACUAUGUAGAUUUGGAAGACAACCCUCCUGAGACCCAAUUCUUAACUGCAUAAGAGAUGGUCGAUAUAGUGGGAAACCACAAUAUCAAUCCCAUCAUUUUUUUUCCAUUUGUAUUUUAGGGCAUUGUCUUUCAUUAUCUUUAAUAAAAACUUUUAAUAUUUACAAAAAAAACCACACGAAACAAAGACGAUAUUGGAGUUUGUAAAAUAUCAAAACUUAGUGUAAGAUCACCAGACUUGAGUGAGAAUGGAAUGUGAUUUAUUCAUUGGUAUUGAUGAGUUUAUAUAGUAUUAAUUUACAAUUAACUCAUAACUAACUAUCUAAAUAUCUUUGUUUUGACCCUCAGGCCCGACGACUAUACUCGUCAAGAGAUGUUCGAUUUAUAGAAGAGGACUUCAUGUUAAAUAAAAGUUUAUGGAAUAAGGUAAAUGAAAAUUUUCCAGACCCGGUAGAAGUGACAUACAUAAGAGUUCAUUCAUAUCAUUCAUACUUAUCACCAACUCUAAAUCCACAGGACUUCCUCACAUUGAUUUAUUUGGAUCAACCCAAACUUAAAGUUUUGGAGGAAAAAGAUUCAUAUAUGCAAAAUAAAAAUAUUUUAUCGACACUAAAAUAUCCUUUUAUAUAAGGGAAAUCCAUAUUAAAUCAUUUUUCAACUAAUUUCUAUUUUAAGUUUGUUAAAAAAUAGGGGAAAUUCCUUUACAAUAUAUAAGGGAAUAUCCGUUAAAAAUAGUUAAAAAAUCCGUUACAAUAUAUAAGUCCUAGUAUUUGUAACGGAAAUAGCAAAGUUAAUGGAAAUUCCGUUACAAAUUCCGUUAACUUUGAUAAUAAGUAUUUGUAACGAAAAUUCCGUUAAGUUUGCUUCGUCCGAACUGCCUACUUUUUUUUGUAGUGACAAUAACCUUUAAAACUAUUGAAUUUUAUAUAAAAAAGUCAUUUCCCAUUAAAAAAGCUAUCUAUUUUAUGAACCUAUUGUUUGGUUUCCAUAUUUAAGAAUCCACCCCCUAUAUAUUUAUUCUCCUAGGCCGGAGUUUCAGAUAUCUGAAUUCACUAUCAUUUUACUUGUUCUCUGCAAACCUAAUGAUGUUUAAAGUUUGAUUUGUUAUUGGUAUUUGAUUUUUCCAUCACAUUUUUUAAAAUUUGUUGCAGGAUAUGCUCAUUUCUUGUGUUGAAGAUCUUACAUGUUCAAGAGGAGGAAAAUUUUGAGAUUUGUGCGUACCAUCUGAACUAAUUACAUCGUCGCAGAAGAAACUAGACGAUUGUAUUUUGAUCUCGAUUCAUUAUUUUGACGUAUAUGCAGGGUAGACAAUCUCGACCUUUGCCAUGUUGGGUGCGCUCGCAUGGCAGGUCACCUAAUAAAAAAGAAUCACUUUUUUGGGUUGGGAGAGGAGAUCGCAUGGGAAUGGGGAUGAUUUUACUCCCUUUUUGAUAUUCCCAGGGUCAUCCUCUCCAAGGUCCGACCUCUGCAAGGCCGGACUCUGUGUUCUCUUUUCUGUUUGUCUUCUUUCAUUAUCCAUUAUCCUCCCUCCCAUACAACUUCCCUCACCGACAUCAUCGAUUAAAGAUAAUAACUCGUUCGUGCCCUCUUAAUCGUUAAAAUCACCGAUCGGCGAAAUCAUUUAUAAUCAUAAAAACGAGGUAUAGAUUCAAUUUAAAUCAAUUACACUUCUACGACGAUUAAUCAAUUAUCGUAAAAUGAAUCAAAUGAUUUGGUUGUCGAUCAAAGUAAUUAACGUUCAUUUCGAAAGCCGGUUUAUGAUUUUAAUUUCGCUUCACAUAUCUUCAUUUUUGGAUGAUUCUGAUAAUAUGAUGGAUGAUAUUGCUCGCGAUCGGGAAACGAAACUCCGUGAUAAUAAAGAGGGCAUGUUGAAUAUAUCUGCUCGAUUAUCUCAAAACGUCAAUAAAGGAAAAUCAAUUGCUAAAAGUUAAUCGCGAUUUUAUAUCUUCUCUUUGUAAGUAUGUUUUAAUUAGUUAAAUUUAUCAUUUUUCUAUAUUUAAACAUGAAAUAAUAUAAUUUAUCAAUUUUAUACACAUGAUUGAUAAGAAAAGAUAGAAGAUUCGAUCAUGACCAAGGUAUUUAUAUUAAGGCAUUGAAAGAAGUUUCAUGAAAUGAAAAGAUCGAUGAAGAAAUGCAUACUUUCAGUUAAGCCUAUUUGAUCCAACUAAUGUUAUUAGGUCAAUGGAAACCUUAUUAUUUUAUCCAACUUUGAAGGUAUUUAUUAAGUUGAUAUAAAAUAACAUAAGUACGGUUGUGGAAUUGAAACACGAACACAUCAAGAGCAACUACUAGUGGAAGCUUGGGCUAGAAGGUUCCAACCGGCAUCAAAUUAAUAUUUAGUUUAAUAUUGUGUUGUAAUUUAAAUUCAGUAAGAACUUGUGUUAAAAGGGGAAUGUAAUACUUAGGCUAAUGGUGGGUUGGAAUUUAACUAAAAAUAGAAUUCUGACUCACAAAAGCAUAAAGAGUUGGAUUGAUGGAAUGACCUAACAAAUCAUAUCCAUCGGAACCCCUAUCUCAUAUGAGGUAGAGUUCCUUGUGUAAAUACAAACGAUAUGAGGAAUCACUUACAAAGUAGUGGACCAAAAGGUAAUGGCAGGGUUUUCCCUAAGAAAAGAAAAAGAAUAUGCCAGGAGCACACUAAUGUUUUUUCACCCAACCAUUGUCCAAGGCCCACUACGUAAGAACGAUGAGGCAUAGAUCGUUCUAGGAAACAUUGAGUCGGUCCCCAAAGGUUGUUGAAGGCCUAAACGAUCGUAAGAUCACUUGGCUGGAUCAAUGCGGAGGGUGUGAGGUAGAUCGCAUGUAAUCAUACCUCUUUUUUUCUCUUUAAGAUCUAUAUAUUACAAGAUGAU
rnacentral:lncRNA from 1 species